rnacentral:rRNA from 1 species
CCUACGGGGGGCAGCAGUGGGGAAUAUUGGGCAAUGGGCGCAAGCCUGACCCAGCAACGCCGCGUGAAGGAAGAAGGCUUUCGGGUUGUAAACUUCUUUUGGCAGGGAAGAGUAGAAGACGGUACCUGACGAAUAAGCCACGGCGAACUAUGUGCCAGCAGCCGAGGUAAUACGUAGGUGGAAAGCGUUGUACGGAUUUACUGGGUGUAAAGGGCGUGUAGCCGUGUUGAAAAGUCAGAUGUGAAAUCCUGCGGGUUAACCGCAGAACUGCAUUUGAAACUGUUGAUCUUGAGUACUGGAGAGGCAGAUGGAAUUCCUAGUGUAGCGGUGAAAUGCGUAGAUAGUAGGAGGAACCCCAGUGGCGAAGGCGGUCUGCUGGACAGCAACUGACGGUGAGGCGCGAAAGCGUGGGGAGCAAACAGGAUUAGAUACCCCUGUAGUC